AAUUGGACUUUAUUUGCGCAGCAUAGGUGGGAGGCAUUGAGUUUAUUCUUGCGGGAAUUUAGGAGCCAUCAGUGAGAUACCACUCUGGUAAUGUUAGAUUUCUAACUUUGUAUCAUGAUCUGGUCAAAGAACAGUUUCAGGCGGGCAGUUUGACCGGGGCGGUCGCCUCCCAAAUGGUAACGGAGGCGUACAAAGGUUUCCUCUGAACGUGUAGAAAUCGUAUCUAGAGUGUAAAGGCAUAAGGAAGCUUGACUGUGAGACUUACUAGUCGAGCAGGGACGAAAGUCGGUCUUAGUGAUCUGACGGUGCUGAGUGGAAAGGCCGUCACUCAACGGAUAAAAGUUACUCUAGGGAUAACAGGCU
rnacentral:rRNA from 1 species